AACGAACGCUGGCGGCAUGCCUAACACAUGCAAGUCGAACGAGACCUUCGGGUCUAGUGGCGCACAGGUGCGUAACGCGUGGGAACCUGCCCUUAGGUUCGGAAUAACUCCCCGAAAGGGGUGCUAAUACCGGAUAAUGUCUUCGGACCAAAGAUUUAUCGCCUUUGGAUGGGCCCGCGUUGGAUUAGCUAGUUGGUAGGGUAAAAGCCUACCAAGGCGACGAUCCAUAGCUGGUCUGAGAGGAUGAUCAGCCACACUGGGACUGAGACACGGCCCAGACUCCUACGGGAGGCAGCAGUGGGGAAUAUUGGACAAUGGGCGAAAGCCUGAUCCAGCAAUGCCGCGGGAGUGAUGAAGGCCUUAGGGUUGUAAAGCUCUUUUACCCGGGAUGAUAAUGACAGUACCGGGAGAAUAAGCUCCGGCUAACUCCGU
rnacentral:rRNA from 1 species